GACGAACGCUGGCGGCGUGCUUAACACACGCAAGUCGAGCGGUAAGGCCCUUUCGGGGGUACGACGAGCGGCGAACGGGUGAGUAACACGUGGGUGACCUGCCCUUAGCCCUGGGAUAAGCCUGGGAAACUGGGUCUAAUACCGGAUAUGACCUCAUGACUCAUGUUGUGGGGUGGAAAGCCUUGUGCGGCUAGGGAUGGGCCCGCGGCCUAUCAGCUUGUUGGUGGGGUAAUUGCCUACCAAGGCGACGACGGGUAGCCGGCCUGAGAGGCGACCGGCCACACUGGGACUGAGACACGGCCCAGACUCCUACGGGAGGCAGCAGGUGGGGAAUCUUGCGCAAUGGGCGAAAGCCUGACGCAGCGACGCCGCGU
rnacentral:rRNA from 1 species